UACGGAGGAUCCAAGCGUUAUCCGGAUUUAUUGGGUUUAAAGGGUGCGUAGGCGGCCUAUUAAGUCAGUGGUGAAAGCCUGGAGCUUAACUCCAGAACUGCCAUUGAUACUGAUGGGCUUGAGUACAGUUGAGGUGGGCGGAAUGUGUCAUGUAGCGGUGAAAUGCUUAGAUAUGACACAGAACACCGAUUGCGAAGGCAGCUCGCUAAACUGUAACUGACGCUGAGGCACGAAAGCGUGGGUAGCAAACAGG
rnacentral:rRNA from 1 species